rfam:Haemophilus haemoglobinophilus strain CCTG 3714 3714T_ctg_0000006, whole genome shotgun sequence.
GCCAUAGUUAAUUUUCGUUCCUUGCUUCCGCAAGAUUGGUGGCUGGUCUUACAGUCGGAGGCUGAUUAACCCGUAAGGAGCAGUAAUG